rnacentral:rRNA from 1 species
GACGAACGCUGGCGGCGUGCUUAACACAUGCAAGUCGAACGGAAAGGCCCUGCUUUUGUGGGGUGCUCGAGUGGCGAACGGGUGAGUAACACGUGAGUAACCUGCCCUUGACUUUGGGAUAACUUCAGGAAACUGGGGCUAAUACCGGAUAUGAUCUCCUGCUGCAUGGGGGGGGUUGGAAAGUUUCGGCGGUUGGGGAUGGACUCGCGGCUUAUCAGCUUGUUGGUGGGGUAGUGGCUUACCAAGGCUUUGACGGGUAGCCGGCCUGAGAGGGUGACCGGCCACAUUGGGACUGAGAUACGGCCCAGACUCCUACGGGAGGCAGCAGUGGGGAAUAUUGCACAAUGGGCGGAAGCCUGAUGCAGCAACGCCGCGUGCGGGAUGACGGCCUUCGGGUUGUAAACCGCUUUCGCAUGUGACGAAGCGUGAGUGACGGUAAUGGGUAAAGAAGCACCGGCUAACUACGUG